AACGAACGCUGGCGGCAGGCUUAACACAUGCAAGUCGAGCGAGAUCUUCGGAUCUAGUGGCAGACGGGUGAGGAACACGUGGGAACAUCCCUUUCAGUUCGGAAUAACGUUGGGAAACUAACGCUAAUACCGGAUACGUCCUUCGGGAGAAAGAUUUAUCGCUGAAAGAUUGGCCCGCGUCUGAUUAGCUAGUUGGUGAGGUAACGGCUCACCAAGGCUACGAUCAGUAGCUGAUCCGAGAGGAUGAUCAGCCACAUUGGGACUGAGACACGGCCCAAACUCCUACGGGAGGCAGCAGUGGGGAAUAUUGGACAAUGGGCGCAAGCCUGGUCCAGCCAUGCCGCGUGAGUGAUGAAGGCCUUCGGGUUGUAAAGCUCUUUUGUCCGGGAAGAUAAUGACUGUACCGGAAGAAUAAGCCCCGGCAAACUUCGUGCCAGCAGCCGCAGUAA
rnacentral:rRNA from 1 species